GAGGAGGGCGGCCUGCGGGUGUCCGCUGAUUCAGCCACGUGUGAUAGAUGACCAGGUGACUGCUUCCUUGGGGUCUGCACAUCAGUAGAAGAUACCCCAACUGGUUGUGGCUGACACGAUCAAACUCUGGCUCCCAGAAUGGGGAAAAGUGCCUCGUGUGAUCUGGAACAAAGACAUUUCAUAAUGAGAUUUAUCAAGCGGUGAAGAGGGAGUUUAACCAAACAGAAGCAGCAGCAUUCUGUCACUGGGAAAUACUGCUUUAUCCAGGAUUGCACCCCUCCCAGAAGACUGGAUCUUCUAGAUGCUGGAAUGUAAGAGCAGCUUUCUUGUGGAAUGAUGGAGAAACUUAUAAAACACCAGUUUACAGGAGGUGGAAGAAAAGAAUGGAAAUAGAUUCUGGAAAACUACUCUUACAUUAUGAUUUGAUUAUCUGUCCUGAUAAAUGAAUUUUAGUCCUCUAAACAUGAAAAAAAAACCAACUAGCAAUUUAAACAAAUUCUCAAUUAUAAAGGCAUGUAACUUUUUAAGGAGAAAUUAUAAUUUUUAUGAACUGGAGAUUUUUCAUAUGAAAUCAUGUAUUUUAAAUUAAUAUGAGCUAACAUAUUUAAAGUUGGAAAUAAAUAUAAGGAAUGCAAGGAUAAAUUUCUGCAUGUAAUAGUCAAUUGAAGUGAUAUAAUGCAUUUUUGUUGCCCUAUGCUGAAUUCAGUAAAAAUAAAGCCGAUGACU